GUGGUAGCUCCCACCUGCAUCUAUUCAAGACAUUGUCUCAAUGGGAAAACCUCACAAUGAGAACAUUCCUUGAAAUGUUGAGCUAUUAGCUGUUGUCUCCUGGUUUCUGCAUCCAUGUUUGUCCAAUGCCUGCCAUUUGAAUGUGGCAUUAUGUCAGAUCCAAGGAGAUUUGCUGUUGCGGCAAUCCGAAGACGGUAGAAAACACUGUUAUCUCAUCGUCUUAGGCUGGCUCUGUGCAUAUGUUGAAACCCACCUUUGAAGGUUUCCAGCGGCUAGCAAAGCCAGGCUGUGUGCUCGGUUUAUCUAGCGUCGCUGGGUGGAAUUCAGAGCUUGCAACCUACAGGUCCUCCGGGCAGCUCGCUGUUUUGCUUUCAUGCCCAAACAACCCAAUGAAGAUCCUCUUGUUCCUGA